rnacentral:rRNA from 1 species
CACGUAGGGUGCGAGCGUUGUCCGGAAUUAUUGGGCGUAAAGAGCUCGUAGGCGGUGUGUCGCGUCGGCCGUGAAAACCUGCAGCUUAACUGUGGGCUUGCGGUCGAUACGGGCAUCACUGGAGUUCGGCAGGGGAGACUGGAAUUCCUGGUGUAACGGUGAAAUGCGCAGAUAUCAGGAGGAACACCGGUGGCGAAGGCGGGUCUCUGGGCCGAUACUGACGCUGAGGAGCGAAAGCGUGGGGAGCGAACAGG